rnacentral:misc_RNA from 1 species
AGCCAGUUGAGGAAAAAGAGAAGGGGCUUGACUCAUUGGUUGUGGAAGAUGGAUCUAACUGGAGCAUGGGACAACGGCAAUUGUUCUGCUUGGGACGUGCUCUUUUGAGGAAAGCUAAGAUUUUGGUGCUUGACGAAGCAACUGCUUCAAUUGACAAUGCUACUGAUAUGAUAUUGCAGAAAACUAUCAGGACAGAAUUUGCUAACAGUACUGUUAUUACAGUAGCUCAUAGGAUACCCACAGUAAUGGAUUGUACAAUGGUUCUGG